UGGUUUCUUCUGGUUUGCACUAGGAUGCCAAAGAAAAUGCUCUCCGCGCUUCCUGUCUGUCUGUGUGGCAGUCCAGGUUGAUUUGGAGAGUACAUGC